UACAGAGGUCUCAAGCGUUGUUCGGAUUCAUUGGGCGUAAAGGGUGCGUAGGCGGCGCGGUAAGUCGGGUGUGAAAUCUCGGAGCUUAACUCCGAAACUGCAUUCGAUACUGUGGUGCUUGAGGACUGGAGAGGAGACUGGAAUUCAUGGUGUAGCAGUGAAAUGCGUAGAGAUCAUGAGGAAGACCAGUGGCGAAGGCGGGUCUCUGGACAGUUCCUGACACUGAGGCACGAAGGCCAGGGGAGCAAACGGG
rnacentral:rRNA from 1 species